UACUCACAGAUAUUUAUUUUUAAAGGCAAACCGUGCACUGGCAAUUUAUUCUUCUUUUUGUGUACAAAUACUGGCUUUUUUAUUGAUUAUAGCAGCUGGUCAACUCCAGAUUGUAGGUUAGACCGAGCGCUGGCUAUUUUUUCUGUGUUACAGUGGACAGACUGUUUGCUAUCCCUGCUCAACUAUAUCUAAAGUCAUAGAGUUAAAGGACCAGUAACAUAAAUUUUUUUUUUUAAAUUAGUUUUUACUAAAUGAAAAAAAAAACACCAAGGCAGUUUUAACUUUAAAUCCACAAAGUCUUUAAUAAGAAAUUUUUUUACCGAUCCUCUGCUUGCGCUCCUCUUCAGAAACGGCGACAGGAUGACAAUCCAUCGUGCAGUGCUAGGUUUAUCCUCCAUGCCUUCUAGUGAAGAUCGACGGAUCGUCGCCCUAUUGCCAUUUGUGAAGCGGAGCGCAAGCAGAGAAUUGAAAAGGCGAAAGGGCGACAACGAUCCAGCGUGCUGCGCUCAAUUUCUUCUCCCAUUCUACUGACAGUGUGUGUUCAUGUGUGUUCUGAGGAAGCCGAUGUCAGCAGGCUCCCCAUUAGCCCCCACACUGAAAUGCUCAUCGAAUCCGACAACGACAGCCUUCACCUCGGGGUCCGUCUCCACGAAGCCCAGUCCUUGGGGGUGCCAUUCAGAAGGUCAGCUCCGCAGCCUAAGUGAGGGAUCCCCGCGGCCCCCAAACUCCUCUCUCAGCGCCCGACCCCCAAUUAUAUAGACUUUUCCCUGUGCUCGGCUGUGCUCUUAGUUGCUUUCCCAAAGAACCUGCCGAUUCCCCUGAGGCGGAAUCCCUUAAGGCAGUGCUAGCUGUGUAGCAUGAGCAAUGUGAAUACCUUCUGUUUUCAGAAGACUUUACACUGCCACCAUAUUUACAAACCUCGAUCUACAUUUUUGUGAAUUCCCCUCCAUGAGUAUUUGCAGUGUUAAAGGAAAAGUAACACCAAAAAAAUGAAACCAUUUUUAAGUAAUUCAAAUAAAAAGUACAGUUGCUCUGCACUGGUGUAUUUGCUUCAGAAACAGAAAUAUGGUUUAUAUAACAAGCUGCUGUUUAGCCAUGGGGGCCGCCAUUCACACUGGAAAAAAAGACGGCACAGGAUACACAGCAGAUAACAGAUAAGCCCUGUAUCAUAAAACAGGAUUCUUCCGAACUUAUCUGUUAUCUACUGAAUAUGAUGUGCUUGAAUGGCUGCCCCCAUGGCUACACAGCAGCUUGUUUAUAUAAACUAUAGUUUCUGAAGCAAUCACACUAUUUUACCAGUACAGGGAAACAGUAAAUUACAUUAUCAUACCAUUUGAAACACUUUCAAUUUCACAGGCAGUGGUUAAGAAACAUGGGAUAACUCAGCAAAUAAUUGUGUCCCUCUUUCAAAUGUUGGUUGGUAUGGCAUUGUCUCAGACACAACUACAGGUAUGGGUUCUUUAAUCUGGAAACCUAAUUUUUUCUCUGACAUAAUAAAAGUGAAAGUUUGUGAUGAUUUAAGAAGACAUACAUAAAAUAUAUCCCCCCUACCACCCUACAGUUUGCAGGACAACACUUUUUUUUCAUCCUCAGACAAAAAUCAUUUUGGAUGUGGCUCAAACAUGUGGGUUGUGUGAUUUGUAGUCCUGUAAUCCUAAAGGGAGUACGUUUUUGUCACCUUUCUAAAUACCAUAACCAGAAAUCUGGUUAAUAAAAAAAAAUAGCAGAACUUACCUUUUAGAUGCUGAAGUUCUGCAUGUAGACUUUCUAUGUUUGAGUCACAAAAUUCCAAGUUUUCAAUGGUUUCUGUCCUCACAAAUUCAUCUUGCUCUUCCUCAAGCAUUAAUGUCAACUCUUCACGAGUCUUUUUGUACACAUCUAACUCUCGUUCAACUUCUUCAAUCUUCAGUUGCAAGAAGGGGCAUGGUGACGCACGGCCUUUGUCACACUCUUCUGAAGAAGGGUCAUGGUUUUCAGGUGCAAUUAAGUUCUCAGUUUGUGGGCUCACUUGUAAUGGUUUAGGAGAGGGUGUAUUUCUUUGGUUACCUGGUGGCGGCAGUGGAGCAGGCCUGGAUGGUUUGAGAGGGAAAGGAAAAGAUGUGCUCUCUCCAUCUGCACUUUUUUGUGACCUACCUCUAACAGAUGAAUUAGAAGUGGAAUUAGAUCUGAUAGUUGGUCGAGGGGGAGGGGGUCUUAAUAUUUUUCUUUUUUCUGGUGAUUUUUGGACUUUGGAGAGCUGAGAUGUGCCUCUAAUAAUGUCUGUUUCAGAACUGUAAUCCAGUAUUGAAAAAUGCCUUGACACAUGAUUGUUGCCAUUUUCUGUAGAGUUGGAGAGGCUUUUUUCAAACUGAGAAAGUUGCUCAGAUAAUUUGAAGUCCAGGUCAAUUAAUUCACAUCCACUGUUUACCUUUUGUGUUCUGCUUUGUGGCCUCUCUACCUGUGAAGACCAUGAAUAUGUGGAGGGACUUUCCUGUUUAUUUUUAGAGUUAGAAUGCAUCUUAGAUUUCUGCUGCUGAUCCUCUACCCAAAGAGCUAUAUCCUGGUACUGAAGGCUGCUUUUUCUAUUGUUUUUGUUCUUGAACUCUGUCCUCUGAGCCUCAUCAGGUGUAAUUAAAGAGAGGGCGGUUUUGGAAGACCACUUUUCAUGUGAACCAUUAGACCCCGAUGGCAACUGUGCUGUAAUCUGCUUGCCUUUAUUAGCACAGGAUUGAACAGGAUUUGCAGGGUUGCUAUAUAUUUUACUCUUUGGGCGAGGAGGUAGCUGUGGCUUAGAAGAUUUGCUAUAUAGAGUUUCAUAGUCAUUUAUAGGAAUUUCACUAUUUAAAUGAAGUUCUGAAUUUGCAAUUUGCACCUGAGAUUCAGCAGCUGAGACACUUGAGGUAUCUUCUACGUGAACAUCCCAGUAAUGGGGAUUAGAACCAGUGUUGUUGUCUGCAGAGGAUACGUCAAGAUUGUGUGAGGUGUUGCUGAUCGUGGUUCCCUCUGAUAACUUCUGGUGGAAAUAUUUUUUUACAGAGCUCUCCAAUUUGACAAAUCUGUGAGGAAAAAUACCUCUCUUUCCAUACAACUCCCCUUCAAGCCACCCGUCUUCUAGCGUCUGAAUUAUUUUAAUCCUAUCACCAACUUCAAAAUCAAGCUCUCUCUGCUCCAUAGCCUCAAAUUUAUAACGAGCAAUUGCAAAAGUGACAUCUUGGUCUUCACUUUCCCUGUGGUUUUCCCUGUUGAAUUUUCCUUGUACAGGGUACUCUGCUACAUCUUCUAGCUUGUCUUGUUUAAAGUCAUCAUAUGUAUUAUGUAUAAUUCUAACAUCAGAAACCCUCAAGGGGUUUAGCAAUUCUACAAAGCCUUCUGGAAAUAUUCCUCUUUGCCCAUUUAGUUCACCCUCAAACCAUCCAGACUCUGGCACACCAGUGAUUGUAAUAAUAUCACCUUCUCGAAAAUCCAGCUCCUCUUUCAGCUGAGCAGAAAGUCCCAAAAUGGCUCUUGCCUGGCCAAUAGCAUAACUUGGAAGCUCAAAAGUAAAGUUCUGACAAAGCUGGCGGCUCCUGGAUGACAGAUAAAAUUCCUGGACACACGAUAAUGGGAAAAAUCCCUUGGACCCCCAACAACUGCGUCCUUGUAACCAACUUGAAGUCAAUUUUCCCUCCAGAACCACUAGAUCACCUGUUAAAAGCGCUCCUGGUUCAUGGGAGGUAAAUUCACUGAUGCAGACAUAGAGCUUCUCUGCAUGCUUCAAACUUGGGAUGGACAGCUCUUCCACAAAGCUCACAGGAAAUUGGCCUGCAAAGACAGAUAUAAAAAAAGAGCCCAGGAGCCAGAACUCAUCUAUUACACUCAGAACUUCAAUGACAUCCCCAGCAAACAGCGUCAGCUCUUCAGACACACUGGGGCAGAAAUCAAAGAUUGCUCGAACCACCGAUCCCACCUCCAUCCCUAAAAGGAGCAAACAAAUGGAAAAAAGCAUGGUUGGUAUUUACCUGUACAUUUAUAAAGCAAUAUAUCAUUGAGACACUAAACUAUCAAUAAAAAAAUAAGAAAUA